rnacentral:tRNA from 1 species
GGAAAUGUGCCUGAGAAAUAUAGGACUACUUUGAUAGAGUAGAACACAGAGGUUAAAAUCCACUCAUUUCCU